AUGCCAGAAGAGUUAAACUAUGCAAUAUAUCUUAGCUACGAGGACUUGUCUCCAUGUUUAAAACAAUGCUUUCUGCAUUUCUCCCUUAAGCCUAAAAGGAUAUGUUUUACCCACGCACAGUUUGUGGGAAUGUGGAUUGGUGAAGGAUUUGUUCAUGGAGAGACUGAUAAAUUGGAAGAAUUAGGAAAUGAGUACCAUAAGGAGCUAAUAUUGAGGAACCUUAUAGAGCCAGAUCCAUUAUAUUCCAGUCAAACUAUUUGCCACAUGCAUGAUGUUGUUCGAUCGUUUGCUCAGUUUUUGACUAGAGAUGAAGCACUAAUAGGUCAUAGUGGAGAAAUUCUUAAUAGCAAGCUUAGUCUGCCAAAAUUUCUUAGGUUUUCUGUAGAAACCAAAGGCGGGCAAUCUGAUGAAUUUGAGUGGAGAUGUUUACAAGAGCAAAAAUCUCUAAGAUCGAUAAUAAUAAUUGGGAAUUUCAAGAUUCAGUCUGGUGAUUCGCUGAUGAGCUUUUCAAGUCUUCGAACUCUACAUGUAGAGUCUGCAAAUUUUGCUGCAUUGGCUGAAUCUCUAUAUCAGCUCAAACACUUGAGGUAUCUAACACUAGAAAACUGCAAUGAUAUAAACAGCCUGCCAGAGGACAUUCACAAGAUAAAAUUCCUACAACACCUUGGUCUUGAAGGUUGUAGGAGUCUGGUGAAACUUCCUGACAGCAUUGUCAAGUUAGAGGAACUGAGAUUUCUUGACCUUGACGACACAUGUGUAAAUAGUAUGCCUAGGGGUUUCUGUGCCUUGACAAAUCUGAGGGAACUAUAUGGGUUCCCAGCCUACGUGGAUGGUGAUUGGUGUAGUUUGGAAGAGUUGGGACCUCUUUCUCACCUCAUUCAUCUUGGAUUAAAGGGUUUGGAGAAUGUAGCCGUUACCUCGUCUGCCUUGAAGGCCAUGCUUGUUGCAAAGGUACAUCUUACCUUAAUGAAAUUACACUGCACCAAUACACUUGACAACAAUAGAAGAGUACCCUCUGAGAAGGAACAAGGAAUAAUUGAGGAGGUGUUUGAUGAACUCUAUCCUCCGUCUUGCAUCGAAAAUAUCAACAUCCGAGGAUAUUUUGGUCGCCAGCUCCCAAGAUGGAUGAUGUCAACAGCAACAUCGCAUCUCAAGAGCUUGAGAUUUUUAACAAUGCACGAACUUGUUUGUUGCAUCCAACUCCCUGAUGGCUUGUGUCUGCUCCCAUGUCUUGAGCUCCUAGCAGUUGACCGAGCGCCAGCUAUCAAGCGUGUUGGACCUGAAUUUGUGCAGUGCCCGGAUCACCGUCAUCAUCCUUCAUCCCAGGUGACAACUUCUUUUCCAAGACUGCAUAAAAUUAAGCUAAAUGCAUUGGUGCAAUGGGAGGACUGGGAGUGGGAGGAGGAAGUGCAAGCUAUGCCCAUCUUGGAUGAGCUUAGUAUCGUAAGAUGCAAUUUGAGGCGUAUCCCCCCCGGCCUUGCAUCCCAUGCAAGGGCGUUGAAAAAAGUAUAUAUGAGCAACAUCGAGCGCCUUGACGCUGUUGAAAACUUUGGUUCCAUCAUUGAGCUCAGGCUGUCUCACAUGCCAGAGAUGACUAGGAUCUCUAAUAUUCCCAAAUUGCAAAAUCUUGAGAUCUGCUUCUGCCCAAAGGUCGAGUUACUUGAGCAGGUGCCUGCACUCAGAAGACUUGUGCUGAAUCUGUGGCACAGUGAGAAACAACUCCCGUUAUACCUACAGACUGUGAAGCCAAGUCAUUUUUUGUUGAGCUGCAGCCGAAAGGUACUCACCUCCAUGGCUUUGGGAAAAUCUGGCUCGGAGUGGUACAAGUUCAGCCACAUCCAGCAUGUCGAGGCUUAUGCAAAGGAUGGAGGCAAUGAGAAAAAUGGCACCUACUGUACACAAGAGAGCCCUACAAGAUCGAUACAAAUGUUGUGCAGGAUUAUUCAGAUGAAUAAUAUGACGUACAAUAAGGAGAGGAAGGGCUACGAAAGGAAAGAAGGAACAUCAUCCAAGGUUAUACGUGAUUGA
rnacentral:rRNA from 1 species